CCUACGGGUGGCUGCAGUGAGGAAUCUUCCACAAUGGGCGAAAGCCUGAUGGAGCAACGCCGCGUGCAGGAUGAAGGCCCUCGGGUCGUAAACUGCUUUUGUUAGCGAAGAAUAUGACGGUAACUAACGAAUAAGGGUCGGCUAACUACGUGCCAGCAGCCGCGGUCAUACGUAGGACCCAAGCGUUAUCCGGAGUGACUGGGCGUAAAGAGUUGCGUAGGUGGUUAUGUAAGUGAAUAGUGAAACCUGGUGGCUCAACCAUACAGACUAUUAUU
rnacentral:rRNA from 1 species